UGCUGCUGUUCUUGUUGCCUUUGAUUUUGUUGCUGCAACUUCUGUGAUUGUUGCAAAAGCUGCUGCUGCUGCUGAUGUUGCAAAAGCUGCUUUUGCUGCUGUUGCAGGUGUUGCAGAACCUGCUGCUGCUGUUGCAAAACCUGUUGCUGCUGCUGCUGUUGCA